UUUCCGUAGGUGAACCUGCGGAAGGAUCAUUAAUGAGUUGUCAUGGGGUUCGAUGCUGGCAGCCAGUUUUUGGAUGCAUGUGCUUGCCCUAACAAUCAUCUUCUUCCAAACACCUGUGCACAUUUUUGAGGGAGCCUUGAGUUGGUUGCCGCUCUUGGGUGAUUUUCUCACAUUCCCUUAAAUCAUUAUACGCUAUUAACAAUGUUGAACGUGCUCUGUGCCGCAAGGCCAUUAAUAUAAUACAACUUUUAACAACGGAUCUCUUGGCUCUC
rnacentral:misc_RNA from 1 species